rnacentral:rRNA from 1 species
GACGAACGCUGGCGGCGUGCUUAACACAUGCAAGUCGAACGGAAAGGCCCCCUUGUGGGGUACUCGAGUGGCGAACGGGUGAGUAACACGUGAGUAACCUACCCUUGACGUUGGGAUAACUUCAGGAAACUGGGGCUAAUACCGGAUAGGAGCUCCUGCUGCAUGGUGGGGGUUGGAAAGUUUCGGCGGUUGGGGAUGGACUCGCGGCUUAUCAGCUUGUUGGUGGGGUAGUGGCUCACCAAGGCUUUGACGGGUAGCCGGCCUGAGAGGGUGACCGGCCACAUUGGGACUGAGAUACGGCCCAGACUCCUACGGGAGGCAGCAGUGGGGAAUAUUGCACAAUGGGCGGAAGCCUAAUGCAGCAACGCCGCGUGCGGGAUGACGGCCUUCGGGUUGUAAACCGCUUUCGCCUGUGACGAAGCGUGAGUGACGGUAAUGGGUAAAGAAGCACCGGCUAACUACGUG